GCGGCGUGCUUACCAUGGCAGUCGAACGAUGAAGCCGGAGCUUGCUCUGGUGAAUUAGUGCCUUAAGGGUGAGUAACACGUGAGCAACCUGCCCUUCACUCUUGGAUAACUGCGGGAAACUGUAGCUAAUACCGGAUAUGAGGCUCUGAGGCAUCUCGGAGCUUGGAAAGAAUUUCGGUGAAGGAUGGGCUCGCGGCCUAUCAGCUUGUUGGUGAGGUAAAGGCUCACCAAGGCGACGACGGGUAGCCGGCCUGAGAGGGUGACCGGCCACACUGGAACUGAGACACGGUCCAGACUCCUACGGGAGGCAGCAGUGGGGAAUAUUGCACAAUGGGGGAAACCCUGACGCAGCCACGCCGCGUGCCAGAUGAAGGCCCUACGGGUCGUAAAUGGCUUUUGGUCGGGAAGAUAAGCCGGGUUUCGACCUGGUGUGACGGUACCGACUGAAUAAGCACCGGCUAACUCCGUGCCAGCAGCCGCGGUAAUACGGAGGGUGCAAGCGUUGUCCGGAAUCAUUGGGUGUAAAGGGUGCGUAGGCGGAUGCCUAAGUCUGGGGUGAAAUCUUGCAGCUUAACUGUAAAAUUGCCUUGGAUACUGGGUGUCUUGAGUACAGAAGAGGAUGGUGGAAUUCGUAGUGUAGCGGUGAAAUGCAUAGAUAUUACGAAGAACACCGGUGGCGAAAGCGGCCAUCUGGUCUGUUACUGACGCUGAGGCACGAAAGCGUGGGGAGCGAACAGGAUUAGAUACCCUGGUAGUCCACGCCGUAAACGAUGAGAACUAGCCGUUGGGGACUUCGGCCCUUGGUGGCACAGCUAACGCGAUAAGUUCUCCGCCUGGGGAGUACGGCCCGCAGGUUAAAACUCAAAUGAAUUGACGGGGGCCCGCACAAGCGGUGGAACAUGGGGUUUAAUUCGAUGCAACCCGAAGAACCUUCCAGCCCUUGAC
rnacentral:rRNA from 1 species